AUGGAGCUGGUGAGCUGGAAUGUUCGAGGGUUGAACAGUCCAGCUAGGAGAAAAGCGUUGAGAGAGUUCGUCGAUGCCACUCGGCCGGGGAUUUGUUGUGUCCAGGAGUCCAAAUUGGAUGUUGUAGAUCAAUUUACCAUUCUACAAUGCUUUGGUCCAUCGUAUGAUGGUUUUUAUUACUUGCCGGCCAUUGGGACCCGAGGUGGUAUCAUUUUGGUGUGGACUCAUCGAUCGCUACCAUCACUAACGGUGUGCGUGACUCUAAUUUUAUUACGGCUUACGUGA
rnacentral:rRNA from 1 species